GUUACUUCAAAUGAUCCCAGGAACUUCUCAUUCCCGGUUUGCGAGACAGUUUUGGGACACCCUGCAUAAUGAUUGCGAUCAAUCUAAAAGAAGCUCAAGUUUCAACGUUUUUAAAAACAUUUUCGUGUAACAAAAUUAGCAAUAUAGUAACAAAGAGAAUAUAUUUUCGUUUCAGGCUUACUAGAUUAUGUCAAGGUUAUGUCACACUCGUCAAAUUCUUCAAGUCGACACACCAUUGUUUACGCCAACUGGAAUCUAACCAAAUUUUGAUACACUCAUCCUCCAGAAAACUAGUCGGUGUAACAUCUCGGAAAAAUUCAAGUCAUUUGCAGCGAUUUAAAAACAACUAUUCCCUUUCGAAAAGCGAACCAAACGAGAACCGCACACGGUGUUCGCGAUUUAGCGAUAGCUAUCGGUCGAGCGAUCUCCGAGGAGCCCUCCAAUUACCUUGUUGCCCCGCGAGAACGCGACGGACCAUCGUUGGAAGCCGCAGACGAGCUCCUUGCUGGUGACGUCUCUUGCGGGGUCGCGUAUCACGCUCCUGGUGACGAUGAACGAGAAGACCCGCGUGCCACUGUUGUCAGGCAGCUGCGCGAAUCUGUUUAGCAGAGCCAUCACCGCAUCUCGAGGGCACAGCUAGAUCAAUGGUCCACGAUCGCUCGGCUACCCUCUGCGAAAGUCCCUAUGCCCGGACCAGCUCUCUGAAACAGAAACGGAAUUCCGCCGUGAAUCCGUGUCAUCCGAUCCCGGCCGUUCUCUGAGAUCCAAAGUCCCUCGCGAGCUGUCGACUCCCCUUUCUCCUUUACAAUAAUUUUCUCCGAGGCACCAUUAACGAGUUAUUAACGAAAAACGUUGACCAAUAAGA